rnacentral:lncRNA from 1 species
CGAAGAUCGAAAAUGCAUUUCCGGUGCGUUUUUCGGCGAAAUCCGCCGACGGAACGCGGGUUAGGUUCGGAAUUAUUCCGACGGUGCUUCGUGAGCUUUUGCGUAGUCGCUGAGCCUUGUUGGCUGGUCACUUGCGUCAUUUCGAGAGUUCGGAAAUGACGGGUGAGCGACGGUGGGUUCCGGUGUCGAAUUAGACACUUCCGGGAACCCGAAUCGAAACGAUUAUCCGACGAUAAUUGUUUU